rnacentral:lncRNA from 1 species
AGGAGCCUCCCCCCAGGCCUUCUCUGGCAAUCAGCGGGGCAGAUGGAGCGGAAGGCUGAGCCAAGGUAAAUACUGCCUGCGCCAAACACCAGACAAACACCGGCAGGUACAAGAGGUACAGACACAUUAGGGCAGGGUGGGGAGGCUCCUGCCAGGGGAGCCAUCUCUCUGAGAAGACGGUUUGGACAAACUGGGCUGCGAGCCAGGUUAGAGAGGGACACAGUCCAGAGCCUGGAAGCCCCGCAGUCUCGCCUGUCCUGGAUGACAUCUUGGGAUCUCAGGGAGAAGUGACCCAGGGAUGGAAGGACCCGGGAGGGAGGGAGAUGGAGUCAGAGGUGGUGGUGCCUCUUUGAUUUCUUUGGUGCUGAGGAUAGAACCCAGGGGUGCUUCACCUCUGACCACAUCCCCAGCCCUUUUGAAAUUUUAUUUAGAGACAGG